UGUUAAAACAGUUUUCUCAAACAAAUACCUUCAAAUUUUUGGAAAGUCUAAACCAGUAUUCAUGCUACUUCUGGGCCAUUAAUUAUGGAUAACUCGUGGCUUCUAACCUUUAUUGUGGGCUGUAUUGUUGGCUACUUGAUAGGGAAAAAUCAUUAAAAAAGCUUUUUCGAAUUUCACAUUAACUGAUUAUUUUUGGCAAAAAUGGAUGUUGACUGGGUGAUCACAUUUCUAGUUGGCUGUUUGGUAGGAUACGUGGUGGCCAGGAAUACCUAAAAUUUAAACAUUUUCCAAAUCAAAAUCAAAGAAGCAACAUGACCCACGUUAUCUCCUUUGCCCUGGGAGUGAUUAUUGGAAUGAUGAGCUGCCGAAGAUGCUAACAUCCCUCGUCCCUUUGAGCUGAAAUUAUCAUAAAUUUAUCAAGAAAUAUGGCUAAAUAAAUAUUAUAACUAAAAAAUAA